GAUGAACGCUGGCGGCGUGCCUAAUACAUGCAAGUAGAACGCUGAAGCUUGGUGCUUGCACCGAGCGGAUGAGUUGCGAACGGGUGAGUAACGCGUAGGUAACCUGCCUCUUAGCGGGGGAUAACUAUUGGAAACGAUAGCUAAUACCGCAUAAAAGUCGAUAUCGCAUGAUAUUGAUUUGAAAGGUGCAAAUACAUCACUAAGAGAUGGACCUGCGUUGUAUUAGCUAGUUGGUGAGGUAACGGCUCACCAAGGCGACGAUACAUAGCCGACCUGAGAGGGUGAUCGGCCACACUGGGACUGAGACACGGCCCAGACUCCUACGGGAGGCAGCAGUAGGGAAUCUUCGGCAAUGGGGGCAACCCUGACCGAGCAACGCCGCGUGAGUGAAGAAGGUUUUCGGAUCGUAAAGCUCUGUUGUAAGAGAAGAACGAGUGUGAGAGUGGAAAGUUCACACUGUGACGGUAACUUACCAGAAAGGGACGGCUAACUACGUG
rnacentral:rRNA from 1 species